GGAGCUUCCAGGGGGCCUUGUAAACAAGCUGGCGACAGGGCCGGGAAGCCAGGCAAGAGCCUGGGGAGUGACAGAGGCAGACAAAAGCUGGAACACAGCUUUGUCCAGGUGCGCAUGUCAAGCCAGGACAUGCUAGCCGCAGGUAUCUGCUGGCUGCCCUCGGCCAUGCAGCUGGGGACUUGGGGACCUGAGAGCCCCAAGACCUGGAUUUUAGCACAACUGUAAUUUGAACAAGAUAUGUGGCCUCAGACAAAUUCCGUUUCCUCUCUGAACCUCAGUUGUGUCACCUGUGAGUUAACCAGAAAUCUAGCUUUCUUCAACCACUCGAGGUCUCUGACUUCCCUCCCAUUUCAGCUCAGCAACGUCAUCCUGAAGCUAUCCCAG
rnacentral:lncRNA from 1 species